GAAAAUGGUCAUUUUUUCCCGUAAUAUCUCAGCAGAGCAAAAGCAUUACAAGUUCUUCCAGGGAAAUUCCCUGGAUACAUGCCUCACUCCCAUCUAUUGGUAACUGACAUUACUUCACAGACCACAGUUUCUCUCUGUCUUUCUCUCUCUCUCUCUCUCUCUCUCACUUUCUCUGUCAUUCGUUCUAUCUCCAUCUUUUGUAAAUUUAAGUUUCAUUUUCAGUUUGAUCACUACCUAGAGUCAAGCAUACGGAAGAAUACAUGAACUCCUGGCUGCAAUAUAGUUCAUGAGUGCACGUAACUUUUCUCUCCCGGUGCACUGAUAUGGGCUACUUAAUAGCUGAAAUGGAGUUUUUGCAAGGAAUGGCUCUACACCAAUGCUUUCUGCAUGCCUGAAUGAAAUGCAUUCAUGAAAAU